AAGCACUUUAUUUGAUUUCCUUCGGGACUGAUUAUUUGUGACUGAGUGGCGGACGGGUGAGUAACGCGUGGGUAACCUGCCUUGUACAGGGGGAUAACAGUUGGAAACGGCUGCUAAUACCGCAUAAGCGCACGGAACCGCAUGGUUCCGUGUGAAAAACUCCGGUGGUACAGGAUGGUCCCGCGUCUGAUUAGCCAGUUGGCAGGGUAACGGCCUACCAAAGCGACGAUCAGUAGCCGGCCUGAGAGGGUGAACGGCCACAUUGGGACUGAGACACGGCCCAAACUCC
rnacentral:rRNA from 1 species